GUCUUUAAUCUUAUUUCUGUAUACCUGAAAGAAUCCUUUUGGGUUUCUUUGAUUCCCUUGACUUGAACCUUAUUAUUUCUGCUUUAGUUAUUCCUUGUUUUAUUUCUGCUUAACUGAAUGUUCAUGUUGAUUUCAUAACUGCCCCUCUUUUGAUACACCUACCAUUGAGACGUUUUAAUCUAUUUAUGCAUUUAGGAUCAUUUUUAUUUGAUCCGAUUUCCCUAUUUCAGACAGUUGUCUGAGCAUUUAGAACUAUGCUCUGGAGAAUGUCAUAUUGGCAACAGUCCCUUCCUACCUGACCCAGUCAGAUCAUUCCAGUUCAAUCCACCCAGGUGCCUGACAAUAACUAAAGAAGAGUGAGCAGGUUGACACUUGAGGAUGAACAGCAGUGAAGCCAAAGCUUGCAGGAUGACUAAAUUAAGAAACACUGUAGAGGAACGAGUGAAAACCUGGAGCUUUAAAUGAUAAGUUGAAAUAAUCUGACUUGUGAAUAAUGGAGGAUAAUUAUUGGUCAGAGAUGAACAUUUACAUUAUAACUGCACCAAGAUGCCUCACGGGCAGCUUACCAGACCUGGUGGCACGUUGGAAGAGGAUUUUGGUUUGCUGAUUAAAACCAGCACAGGUUGUAGAGCAGUAAGCCUUCAGUGCCAAGAUCUACUUGGAUCUUUUAAUGGUGUGCCUCUAAAUUUCAUAUUAGAGCAGCAGAUUCUCUGGAAUGGAUUAAUCAUGAAAUUAGAGGGCCCACUGUAACUGCACCAAAAUGCCUCCCAGGCAGCUUACCAGACCUGGUGGCACGUUGGAAGAUGACUUUGGUUUAGUGACUGAAACCAGCACAGAUGGAUGGUAAUAGAAAAGUCCAAGCUGAGCAAGUUUGGAAGAUUGCUGGAAUAGAAGAAAGGUAGAUUAGGAAAGCUCUCAACAGCCUACAAAGGGAAUUCCCAGAGUACAUCUUACAAGAAAGUUGUUACAGUAACCAGGAAAACAAGUUAACCUUUACUUUCUCCAUAGAAUGGAUUUCGUAGGUUGGAAAGCAGCAAACCUUCAGAUGCAAAAUUCACUCAUUGCCUUUAAUGUGAUGCUUCUAAAUGUCAUAUUAGUGCAGGACAUCUCCACUGCCUCCAGCUGCCUCCUCGCUGCAGCAUUUACAAUCCAAGCUUCGCACCCAUAUGGAUGGCAAUAGACAAACGAGCAAGCUGAGAAAGUUUGGAAAAUGGCUACAAUAAAAUUGACUUCCAAAUCCUUAAACAUCCUUCAAAGGUAAGGAACUGUAAAUUCUGGAGGUAUAGGUAGUAGGUUGGUAGACAGCAACCACCCAGGGAAGUACUACCGUCCUGCCAGAUGACUGUGAAACAAAAACCUGUAACUGUUUGCAUGAUGGUAGGAU